GAUGAAGAACGCAGCGAAAUGCGAUAAGUAGUGUGAAUUGCAGAAUUCAGUGAAUCAUCGAAUCUUUGAACGCACAUUGCGCCCCUUGGUAUCCCGAGGGGCAUGCCUGUUCGAGCGUCAUUUCACCACUCAAGCCUGGCUUGGUGUUGGGCGACGUCCUCUUUGGGGACGCGCCUCGAAACGCUCGGCGGCGUGGCACCGGCUUUAAGCGUAGCAGAAUCUUUCGCUUUGGAAGUCGGGGCCCCGUCUGCCGGAAGACCUGCUCGCAAGGUUGACCUCGGAUCAGGCAGGGAUACCCGCUGAACUUAAGCAUAUCAAUAAGCGGGGA
rnacentral:misc_RNA from 1 species